GAUGAACGCUGGCGGCGUGCCUAAUACAUGCAAGUCGAGCGAACAGACGAGGAGCUUGCUCCUCUGACGUUAGCGGCGGACGGGUGAGUAACACGUGGAUAACCUACCUAUAAGACUGGGAUAACUUCGGGAAACCGGAGCUAAUACCGGAUAAUAUAUUGAACCGCAUGGUUCAAUAGUGAAAGACGGUUUUGCUGUCACUUAUAGAUGGAUCCGCGCCGCAUUAGCUAGUUGGUAAGGUAACGGCUUACCAAGGCGACGAUGCGUAGCCGACCUGAGAGGGUGAUCGGCCACACUGGAACUGAGACACGGUCCAGACUCCUACGGGAGGCAGCAGUAGGGAAUCGUCCGCAAUGGGCGAAAGCUUGACGGAGCAACGCCGCGUGAGUGAUGAAGGUCUUCGGAUCGUAAAACUCUGUUAUUAGGGAAGAACAAAUGUGUAAGUAACUAUGCACGUCUUGACGGUACCUAAUCAGAAAGCCACGGCUAACUACGUG
rnacentral:rRNA from 1 species